rnacentral:rRNA from 1 species
GCAGCCGCGGUAAUACGUAGGGUGCAAGCGUUAAUCGGAAUUACUGGGCGUAAAGCGUGCGCAGGCGGUUCUGUAAGACAGAUGUGAAAUCCCCGGGCUCAACCUGGGAAUUGCAUUUGUGACUGCAGGACUAGAGUUCAUCAGAGGGGGGUGGAAUUCCAAGUGUAGCAGUGAAAUGCGUAGAUAUUUGGAAGAACACCAAUGGCGAAGGCAGCCCCCUGGGAUGCGACUGACGCUCAUGCACGAAAGCGUGGGGAGCAAACAGGAUUAGAUACCCC